rnacentral:rRNA from 1 species
GACAGAGGAUGCAAGCGUUAUCCGGAAUGAUUGGGCGUAAAGCGUCUGUAGGUGGCUUUUUAAGUCCGCCGUCAAAUCCCAGGGCUCAACCCUGGACAGGCGGUGGAAACUACCAAGCUGGAGUACGGUAGGGGCAGAGGGAAUUCCUGGUGUAGCGGUGAAAUGCGCAGAUAUCAAGGAGGAACACCGGUGGCGAAGGCAGAUCACUGGGCCGCAACUGACGCUGAGGAGCGAAAGCAUGGGGAGCGAACAGG